rnacentral:rRNA from 1 species
UACGUAGGCAGCAAGCGUUGUUCGGAGUUACUGGGCGUAAAGAGUAUGUAGGCGGUGGCUUAAGUUUGGUGUGAAAUCUCCCGGCUCAACUGGGAGGGUGCGCCGAAUACUGAAUGACUUGGAGUGCGGGAGAGGAGAGUGGAAUUCCUGGUGUAGCGGUGAAAUGCGUAGAUAUCAGGAGGAACACCGGUGGUGUAGACGGCUCUCUGGACCGUAACUGACGCUGAGACACGAAAGCGUGGGUAGCAAACAGG